UACAGAGGGUGCGAGCGUUAAUCGGAGUUAACGUGGGCGUAAAGGGCGCGUAGGCGGUUAGAUAAGUUAGGAUGUGAAACUCCCUGGGCUUAACCUAGGAACUGGCAUCUAAGACUGAUGUAACUAGAGGUAACUGUAGAGGGUAGUGGAAUUUCCGGUGUAGCGGUGAAAUGCGUAGAGAUCGGAAGGAACACCAGUGGCGAAGGCGGCUACCUGGACAGAGUACUGAACGCUGAGGCGCGAAAGCGUGG
rnacentral:rRNA from 1 species